rnacentral:rRNA from 1 species
GAAUUCGCCCUUAGAGUUUGAUCCUGGCUCAGGACGAACGCUGGCGGCGUGCCUAACACAUGCAAGUCGAACGGAACUGUUUUGAAAGAUUUCUUCGGAAUGAAUUUGAUUUAGUUUAGUGGCGGACGGGUGAGUAACGCGUGAGUAACCUGCCUUCAAGAGGGGGAUAACAUUCUGAAAAGAAUGCUAAUACCGCAUGACAUAUCGGAACCACAUGGUUUUGAUAUCAAAGAUUUUAUCGCUUGAAGAUGGACUCGCGUCCGAUUAGUUAGUUGGUGAGGUAACGGCUCACCAAGACCGCGAUCGGUAGCCGGACUGAGAGGUUGAACGGCCACAUUGGGACUGAGACACGGCCCAGACUCCUACGGGAGGCAGCAGUGGGGGAUAUUGCACAAUGGGGGAAACCCUGAUGCAGCGACGCCGCGUGGAGGAAGAAGGUUUUCGGAUUGUAAACUCCUGUCGUUAGGGACGAUAAUGACGGUACCUAACAAGAAAGCACCGGCUAACUACGUGCCAGCAGCCGCGGUAAAACGUAGGGUGCAAGCGUUGUCCGGAAUUACUGGGUGUAAAGGGAGCGCAGGCGGGAAGACAAGUUGGAAGUGAAAACCAUGGGCUCAACCCAUGAAUUGCUUUCAAAACUGUUUUUCUUGAGUAGUGCAGAGGUAGAUGGAAUUCCCGGUGUAGCGGUGGAAUGCGUAGAUAUCGGGAGGAACACCAGUGGCGAAGGCGGUCUACUGGGCACCAACUGACGCUGAGGCUCGAAAGCAUGGGUAGCAAACAGGAAUAGAUACCCUGGUAGUCCAUGCCGUAAACGA